rnacentral:snRNA from 1 species
GGAUGUGAGGGCGAUCUGGCUGCGACAACUGUCACCCCAUUAAUCACCAGGGUUGAUUCGGCUGAUCUUGCUGAUAGGCUGGUGUCCCCUUCCUCCCUCACGCUCCAUGUGCGUCCUCCAGGAGCUGGGUGGAAGAGGACCGCCUUCCCAGAAUAGAGACCGACCGGUAUAGGAGGGUAUAAGAGUAGCUGCGCUGCCCUGCUAGAACCUCCAAACAAGCUCUCAAGUACCUACAUAAUAACUAUUAAUGAGAAAAUAAGGGAUAGUAAUAAUAGUUAACAUUUAUUGGGUGGCUAUGUAACUACUAGACUUUAAGU